rnacentral:rRNA from 1 species
ACGAAAAUCAGUGGUUGGAAGGAAAAGCUUCUAUCAGCAGGAGGAAAGGAAAUCCUUCUCAAAUCGGUUGUACAAGCUAUCCCAACUUAUGCAAUGUCCGUCUUUAAAAUUCCUAAAAAAAUAUGUAAAGGAAUCAUUGACGCGAUGUCGCACUUUUGGUGGGGUGAUGAAGACAAUCAGAAGAGAAUGCAUUGGAUGGCAUGGUGGAACAUGUGUGUACCAAAAGACCAAGGAGGAAUGGGUUUUCGAGACACACAUUGUUUCAAUCUGGCCUUGUUGGCCAAACAAGCGUGGCGCCUGCUUGAUAAUCCUGAUUCCCUAUGUGCCACCAUUUUGAGAGCUAAAUAUUUUUCGGAUGGAGAU